GUUUACUUCAGCUGCACAUAUGCUAAAGCUGGAACAACACGAAGAAGAUUAGCAUGGACCCUGAGCAAGGAUGACACACAUUCAUUCCAUGUUAAAAAAAAAACUUAU